rnacentral:sRNA from 1 species
AAGGAAGACAGCCUCCUCCAGGAGCAUCUUACCCAACCUCUUGUCACCAUACCAAAUGGCGAUCCGAGCAAAAAGACUGGAAGAGAGCCGAGCGGCGGCGCUCCAAGAGCUCCGGGAGAAGCAGGCUCUGAUGGAGCAGCAGAGACGAGAGAAAAGGGCACUGCAGGAGUGGAGAGAGCGAGCCCAGAGGAUGAGGAAGAGGAAGGAAGAACUCAGCAAACUCCUGCCUCCGCGGAGGAGCAUGGUGGCAUCAAAGAUUCCCUCUGCUACAGAUCUGGUAGAUAACGGGAAAGUACCACUGAAUCCACCUGGAAAAAUGAAACCAAGCAAAGAGAAAUCGCCACGAUCAAGUAAAGAAAUGAGUGCCCUCCAGGAGGGAAAUUUAGAAGAGAAGAUAAAACAGCACAUCCCCCAAAUGCACGAGCAGAGAAGAUUCCAUGGCCAGGCCCCGCUGGAGGAGAUGAGGAAGGCUGCCGAGGAUCUGCAAAUUAGCCGGAGAUGGGAGAGAGGAGACAUGAGGGCAGGAUGUGGAGCCACUUCAUGGAGACCCCACCCAACCUGACUUGGACCCCGCUUCUGAGACUCUUUUCCUCCUCAGCCCAAGGAGUUUGUAUCUGCCUUUAGAUAAACUCUUAUUCUUUCUAAA